GGAGGAGGAGGAGGAGAAGAAGCAGGAGGAGGAGAAGAAGAAGAAGCAGGAGGAGGAAGACAAGAUAAGAAGAAGAAGCAGGAGUAGAAGAAGAAGAAUGUGUUUAGUGAUGUGAUUGUAGAGUGUAAAAUGUUUAGCCUAUUUCAGCUAUUUGAAGUUUCAUUGAGAUUAAAACCAGGCUAACAGGGCAGUUCAGAACCUUGUAUGUGCAAUGGAGGAAAAA